ACUUUAAUAAUUUAAAUAAAAUAAUGGUCUUGUAAAUCAUAAAUAAGCUUUUGCUUUUAAAGUA
rnacentral:tRNA from 1 species